GACGAACGCUGGCGGCGUGCUUAACACAUGCAAGUCGAACGGAAAGGCCCUGCUUUUGUGGGGUGCUCGCGUGGCGAAAGGGUGAGUAACACGUGAGUAACCUUCCCUUGACUUUGGGAUAACUUCAGGAAACUGGGGCUAAUACCGGAUAGGAGCUCCUGCUGCAUGGUGGGGGUUGGAAAGUUUCGGCGGUUGGGGAUGGACUCGCGGCUUAUCAGCUUGUGGGUGGGGUAGUGGCUUACCAAGGCUUUGACGGGUAGCCGGCCUGAGAGGGUGACCGGCAACAUUGGGACUGAGGUACGGCCCAGACGCCUACGGGAGGCAGCAGUGGGGAAUAUGGCACAAUGGGCGGAAGCCGGAUGCAGCAACGCCGCGUGCGGGAUGACGGCCUUCGGGUUGUAAACCGCUUUCGCCUGUGACGAAGCGUGAGUGACGGUAAUGGGUAAAGAAGCACCGGCUAACUACGUG
rnacentral:rRNA from 1 species